rnacentral:tRNA from 1 species
UUUGUUUUAACAUAUUAUUAAUGUGAUACAGCCGUUAACUGUAUUUAAGUGAAUUUAGAAAUUUCUCAAACAAAU